rnacentral:rRNA from 1 species
GACGAACUUUGGCGGCGUGCUUAACACAUGCAAGUCGAACGGAAAGGCCCUGCUUUUGUGGGGUGCUCGAGUGGCGAACGGGUGAGUAACACGUGAGUAACCUGCCCUUGACUUUGGGAUAACUUCAGGAAACUGGGGCUAAUACCGGAUAGGAGCUCCUGCUGCAUGGUGGGGGUUGGAAAGUUUCGGCGGUUGGGGAUGGACUCGCGGCUUAUCAGCUUGUUGGUGGGGUAGUGGCUUACCAAGGCUUUGACGGGUAGCCGGCCUGAGAGGGUGACCGGCCACAUUGGGACUGAGAUACGGCCCAGACUCCUACGGGAGGCAGCAGUGGGGAAUAUUGCACAAUGGGCGGAAGCCUGAUGCAGCAACGCCGCGCGCGGGAUGACGGCCUUCGGGUUGUAAACCGCUUUCGCCUGUGACGAAGCGUGAGUGACGGUAAUGGGUAAAGAAGCACCGGCUAACUACGUGCCAGCAGCCGCGGUGAUACGUAGGGUGCGAGCGUUGUCCGGAUUUAUUGGGCGUAAAGGGCUCGUAGGUGGUUGAUCGCGUCGGAAGUGUAAUCUUGGGGCUUAACCCUGAGCGUGCUUUCGAUACGGGUUGACUUGAGGAAGGUAGGGGAGAAUGGAAUUCCUGGUGGAGCGGUGGAAUGCGCAGAUAUCAGGAGGAACACCAGUGGCGAAGGCGGUUCUCUGGGCCUUUCCUGACGCUGAGGAGCGAAAGCGUGGGGAGCGAACAGGCUUAGAUACCCCGGUAGUCCACGCUGUAAACGGUGGGUACUAGGUGUGGGGUCCAUUCCACGGGUUCCGUGCCGUAGCUAACGCUUUAAGUACCCCGCCUGGGGAGUACGGCCGCAAGGCUAAAACUCAAAGGAAUUGACGGGGCCCCGCACAAGCGGCGGAGCAUGCGGAUUAAUUCGAUGCAACGCGUAGAACCUUACCUGGGUUUGACAUGGAUCGGGAGUGCUCAGAGAUGGGUGUGCCUCUUUUGGGGUCGGUUCACAGGUGGUGCAUGCCUGUCGUCAGCUCGUGUCGUGAGAUGUUGGGUUAAGUCCCGCAACGAGCGCAACCCUUGUUCACUGUUGCCAGCACGUUAUGGUGGGGACUCAGUGGAGACCGCCGGGGUCAACUCGGAGGAAGGUGGGGAUGACGUCAAGUCAUCAUGCCCCUUAUGUCCAGGGCUUCACGCAUGCUACAAUGGCUGGUACAGAGAGUGGCGAGCCUGUGAGGGUGAGCGAAUCUCGGAAAGCCGGUCUCAGUUCGGAUUGGGGUCUGCAACUCGACCUCAUGAAGUCGGAGUCGCUAGUAAUCGCAGAUCAGCAACGCUGCGGUGAAUACGUUCCCGGGGGCU